AACGAACGCUGGCGGCAUGCCUAACACAUGCAAGUCGAACGAGACCUUCGGGUCUAGUGGCGCACGGGUGCGUAACGCGUGGGAACCUGCCCUUAGGUUCGGAAUAACUCCCCGAAAGGGGUGCUAAUACCGGAUAAUGUCUUCGGACCAAAGAUUAAUCGCCUUUGGAUGGGCCCGCGUUGGAUUAGCUAGUUGGUAGGGUAAAAGCCUACCAAGGCGACGAUCCAUAGCUGGUCUGAGAGGAUGAUCAGCCACACUGGGACUGAGACACGGCCCAGACUCCUACGGGAGGCAGCAGUGGAGAAUAUUGGACAAUGGGCGAAAGCCUGAUCCAGCAAUGCCGCGUGAGUGAUGAAGGCCUUAGGGUUGUAAAGCUCUUUUACCCGGGAUGAUAAUGACAGUACCGGGAGAAUAAGCUCCGGCUAACUCCGU
rnacentral:rRNA from 1 species